rnacentral:lncRNA from 12 species
UAAUAAGGCAUAAAAUAAACUUCUAGUUAGUCUUAAUGUGUCUUCUGGAUGUAGUUGCUGAUUGAAGACUUUACUGCUUGCCAGCUGCUCGUCAUUGCUGUCAGAACACCGCUGGCAAUGGAGUUUCAUGAGUUUCCCCUCACCAAUGGAGUACAAGUUAUUUCAACAGCCUUCUUUAAGUGAGCUAGAGUGCUAUGUUACCGUGCAAGAAUCAGAAAAGGAGCUUUUACAGAAAAAAUGAAAAAAGCGGAUCUUAACCUAGCAGAGCAUAAUUUGUACACUACAGAUACUCUGGAAAGCUACAGUAUAAGGACUGGAAGAAAGCAUGAGGUAGGGUAGUUUUAUU